CAGAUCCCUAUGGGAUGCACCAGUAGGGAAUCUUCGGCAAUGGACGAAAGUCUGACCGAGCAACGCCGCGUGAGUGAAGAAGGUUUUCGGAUCGUAAAACUCUGUUGUUAGUCAAGAACAAGGAUGAGAGUGGAAAGUUCAUCCCUUGACGGUAUCUAACCAGAAAGCCACGGCUAACUACGUGCCAGCAGCCGCGGUAAUACGUAGGUGGCAAGCGUUGUCCGGAUUUAUUGGGCGUAAAGCGAGCGCAGGCGGUUUGAUAAGUCUGAUGUGAAAGCCUUCGGCUCAACCAUAGUUCGCUUUGGAAACUGUCAAACUUGAGUGCAGAAGAGGAGAGUGGAACUCCAUGUGUAGCGGUGAAAUGCGUAGAUAUAUGGAAGAACACCAGUGGCGAAGGCGGCUCUCUGGUCUGUAACUGACGCUGAGGCUCGAAAGCGUGGGGAGCGAACAGGAUUAGAUACCCAAGUAGUCC
rnacentral:rRNA from 1 species